AGUGAACGCUGGCGGCGUGCCUAAUACAUGCAAGUCGAACGAGUGGCGCACGGGUGAGUAAUAUAUAGCUAAUCUGCCCCUUGCUGGAGGACAACAGUUAGAAAUGACUGCUAAUACUCCAGCAAGGGAUGAGACUAUAUCGUAUCAGCUAGUCGGUGGGGUAACGGCCUACCGAGGCUAUGACGCGUAACUGGUCUGAGAGGAUGAUCAGUCACAUUGGAACUGAGACACGGUCCAAACUCCUACGGGAGGCAGCAGUGAGGAAUAUUGGUCAAUGGACGCAAGUCUGAACCAGCCAAGUAGCUUGCAGGAUGACGGCCUAUGGGUUGUAAACUGCUUUUAUAUGGGGAUAGGUACCAUAUGAAUAAGGACCGGCUAAUUCCGUGCCAGCAGCCGCGGUAAUAU
rnacentral:rRNA from 1 species